AUCGCUUCUCGGCCUUUUGGCUAAGAUCAAAGUGUAGUAUCUGUUCUUAUCAGCUUAAUAUCUGAUACGAUCCCCAUGUGGGAUCUACAUUAUUAAACUGAUUUUUGGAAUAUGGCGAAGUGCUAGGGGCUUGCUCCACCUUUGCCGCAGAUCGGUGUGCAGGUACCUCCGGUAUUGGUCCACUCCCC
rnacentral:snRNA from 1 species